rnacentral:rRNA from 1 species
GGAAUAUUGGACAAUGGGCGAAAGCCUGAUCCAGCGACUCUGCGUGGAGGAUGAAGCAUUACGGUGUGUAAACUCCUUUUCUGGUAGAAGACGACUGACGGUAUACCAGGAAUAAGCAUCGGCUAACUACGUGCCAGCAGCCGCGGUAAUACGUAGGAUGCAAGCGUUAUCCGGAAUUACUGGGCGUAAAUGGUCCGUAGCUGGAUUUAUAAGUCUGUUUUCAAAUACUUGGACUCAAUCGAAGGAAGGGAAUAGAUACUGUAAAUCUAGAGGUUAUUAGAGGUUAGUGGAAUUUCCGGUGGAGCGGUGAAAUGCGUUGAUAUCGGAAGGAACGCCGAAAGCGAAAGCAUCUAACUAUGAUAAACCUGACAGUGAUGGACGAAAGCUUGGGUAGC